UUUAAAUUAUUUAAAGAUAGAAACCGAUCUGGCUUACACCGAUCUGAACUCAAAUCAUGUAAGAUUUUAAA
rnacentral:tRNA from 1 species